rnacentral:rRNA from 1 species
GACGAACGCGGCGGCGUGCCUAAUACAUGCAAGUAGAACGCUGAAGGAGGAGCUUGCUCUUCUGGAUGAGUUGCGAACGGGUGAGUAACGCGUAGGUAACCUGCCUGGUAGCGGGGGAUAACUAUUGGAAACGAUAGCUAAUACCGCAUAAUAGCAGUUGUUGCAUGACAACUGUUUAAAAGGUGCAAUUGCAUCACUACCAGAUGGACCUGCGUUGUAUUAGCUAGUUGGUGGGGUAACGGCUUACCAAGGCGACGAUACAUAGCCGACCUGAGAGGGCGAUCGGCCACACUGGGACUGAGACACGGCCCAGACUCCUACGGGAGGCAGCAGUAGGGAAUCUUCGGCAAUGGACGGAAGUCUGACCGAGCAACGCCGCGUGAGUGAAGAAGGUUUUCGGAUCGUAAAGCUCUGUUGUAAGAGAAGAAACGAGUGUGAGAG